AUCCAGAUGACAAGUCCCAAAUAGGACGAAAUGCACAUUGUGGAU
rnacentral:hammerhead_ribozyme from 1 species